rnacentral:rRNA from 1 species
UACGGAGGGUGCAAGCGUUAUUCGGAAUUAUUGGGCGUAAAGGGCGUGUAGGCGGUCUUGUAAGUCAGAUGUGAAAGCCCGGGGCUCAACCCCGGAAGUGCAUUUGAUACUGCGAGACUUGAGUAUGGGAGGGGGAAGUGGAAUUCCUGGUGUAGAGGUGAAAUUCGUAGAUAUCAGGAGGAACACCAGUGGCGAAGGCGACUUCCUGGACCAAUACUGACGCUGAGGCGCGAAGGCGUGGGGAGCAAAC